UUUUUUUUUUUUUGUACUCUUUUCUUCCUCUUCUCCUUUUGGAAUUCUGAUGCUUUUGCUGUUGUACCUACUGCAAUGAUCUUCUAAUUUACUUACAUUCCACCUCCUAUUUUCUUUUUAAAAAACUCUUUGGGAAAUUUUUUCAACUUUAUUUUUAACAUUUUCCCUGAUUUUUUUUUUAAAUUGGCUUUCAGAUUUUUAAUUUCCAAAGCUUAUUUUCUCUUCUUUUGAUAGACAUACUCUUCUUGUUCAUGUAUGCAUAUUUGCUUAUUUUUCUGAGAAUAUUCAUUGCUUCUAUGAGAUUUUCUUCUGCUCCCUGCAUUGUCUCCAUUUCUUCUGAAUUUUUAGUUUCUAUUUGUUGAGUUUGGUCACUCUUUACUUUUUUUUAGACCAUCUCAAAUAUCUAGCAAGUUGUACCUGACCAUUUAUGAGUGAGGCAUAUUUUUGAAUUAUAAGCUGAGUGUCUGGUGGGCUUCAGUGGAGCAAGUCUGGCUGAUGUAUGGAACUGAGCAGAGGAAGGGGCUGGGUGGGUGAGUUUUCGUGGUUCUAUACAUAGACCUUUCAGCUACCCCUUCCAUUUUUGAGUCUGGAGUCUGUCCACCCACUGCAGAGAUACUGAUGAUCAUUGCUAAAGAAACAUGUGGCUGUUCUUAGGGUUUCUUAUAACUUAUUUAGAUGCUAAUCUAAGUUUGUCUGCAUCAAUGCCCUUUAUUUAUAAUACUGUGACUUCCAGUACAUGUUAAGCAUCAGAGAGAAAGCUUCUGAUUCUGUGACCAUGUACCAGGGAGCAGAGUUAUAUCUCAAUUAUUAUUUACCUUCUAAGCUACUUAAAUUUUAGUUAUAAUAAACAAGGCAGAAAAAAAUCAGUAAAAUGAACAUUUUUCUGACAGCUCAAACACUGAUCAGUAUAAGCUGUCAACAGCAAUUAUUUAUAACUGAUGAAACUGAAAAAUCUCAGGUCACAGGAAACAUAAAUUUAUGCAGAAAUCUUUCAGCGACACAGUGUCAAGAAUUGGCAAGUACAACGAGCCUAGCACCUCCCAGCCAUUGAAAUGAAAGCUUGAAAUGGUGGUCAUUGAUGGGUUUUACUUCAUUUACUUUCCUGAAACUGAGGCUCCAAGCGGUAAAAUAAUUCAAUUAUUCUCUCCAACUAAAACUUAUGGAUAUCUGACAAUAUAGAUUAUUUUUAAAGUUGGGCAUCUCUGCAGCGAUUACAUCAAAUCUUUUGUGUUUUGAAGAAGGCUUGCCCACGAUGAAUUUCCAAGCUGGGAGGAUUGUGUGAUCCUGGGAUUCCUCACUCCACACUCAUGUCAGAGCCUGGCAAAGGAAGGUGUUCUUCCUGUGAAUUAGUCGUUUCACUGCUUUCCCUGACAUGUGUGCCUGAAAUUCCUGGCGGGCAUACUCACCUUAUUCAUGGAGCCUUCAUAUUUGUAUUCAUCGUACCAUAUGCAACAUAUACAGUAUUUAGGGGACCUUUUGGCAAGUAUGAAAAAUAGCGUUUUUUUCUGGGCAAAGUGUUGUGAGUAGACUUAGACUGCAGGUGGCAACAAAAACUCAGGCAUGGGAAAAAGGCAGCCCACAAAGGCUUCUGUAGAAUUGUCUCACAGUGGAGCCUUUACUUACAGUGACUUCAAUAAAAAGACCUGGGAGCUUUAAGCAGCCAUUUUAUUGGAUUUAACAACCAUCUCCUCAAAUAUCUAGCAAUUUGAAGCCAUCCUAUAUGUUCUUAACCAUGAAAGAUUAUCUAAGAUUACUAGUACAAUCUUCAAAGAAUCACGUAUUCACAUUUAGUUUAAAAAAAUAAUAAUCAGAAUGUCCUUUUCAGCAAUAGGGCCUUAUUAGGCUAGGUUUGACAUUUAAUGAGAGAUAGCUUCCAAAUUAUGGCCUUGACAGCCAUCAUUCAUGUUUUUUAUGCUGGAACAAUUGAUUUGCUUGUGCUAAGGAAAGAAGGCAGACCCUCCUGGGGUAGAUAGGAGACACGGAGGCAUAACAUGAUUCCUCAUUAUUUGUAAACCCAUUUGGCCCUCCUACAGCUGAUAUCAAUGUUACUGCUUUUGCAUUUUGUUUCAUCUGAUAUUACUGGUUUGCAUAUUCCUGAUUUAUUUUUACUCAUUGCAUGGUUUUUAAAAUUUCUGUGAAAUUUAAAAAACAGGUUUCUUGUAGAGAGUAUAAAGGGCUUAUUAUUUCUUGACCCAGCCUCAGAGUCCUUAUCAUUUGAUGCUAGCAUUCAAACUAUUCACAUUUCUUCUGAUAGGUUUGAUUUCCUAUGUUCCUUCUUACUUUAUAUCUACUAUUUAUUAUAUUUAUUAUUAUCAUGCUUUUUCUUUUUAUAAAUUUCUUCCAGAUUAAUUAGGAUGUUAUUUUUAAAAUUCAUCUUCUUACUCUCUCUCUUCUCAAGCAAUUCAGUUUACUAUAUAUCUCAUAUCUUAAUUCAUAUUUAGAGUUAGAAGUCUCUAUCCACAUACUGAAAUCAUACCAAAAAACUAAUGAGUCAAUGAUGAAAUCAAAGAGGAAAUUAAAAAUUACCUUGACACAAACUGUUGAUGACAAACCCACAGCCAAUAUAAGAUUCAACAGUGAAAAGCUGAAAGCCUUCCUGCUAAAAUAUGGAACAAGACAAAGGUGCUCACUCUCACUAGUUCUAGUCAAUAUUUUAUUGGAAAAUUCUAGCCACAGCAAUCAGACAAGAAAAAGAAAUAAAAGGUAUCCAAAUUGGAAGGGAAGAGGUAAAACUGUCAUUAUAUGCAGAAGACAUGAUACUAUUUCUAGAAAACCCUAAAGACUCCAAACAAAAACUACUAUAACCAAUAAAUGAACUCAACAGGGUAGCAGGAAACAAGAUUAACAUAAAGAAACUGGUUCCAUUCCUUUACACUAACAAUGAAAUAUAAGAAAGGGAAUGUAAAAACACAAUACCUUUUAAAAUUAUACCAAAUUAAAAUACUUAGGAAUAAACCUGCCCAAAGAGGUGAAAUAUUUACAUGCUGAGAACUAUAAAACAUUAAAAAAGAAACCGAAGACACUUCAAAGAAAGAUAUUCAGGCUUUUGGAUUGGGAGAAUUAAUACAGUUAAAAUGAUCAUACUCCCUAAAGUUAUCUAUCCUUAUCAAAUUACUCAUGAUAUUUUUCACAGAACUAGAAUAAAUAAUCCUAGAAUUUAUAUGAAACCAUAAAAGACUCAGAAUUGCCAAAGCAAUCCUGAGGAAAAAGAACAAAGCAGGAGGUAUUAUCCUCCCAGACUUCAGACAAUACUACGAAGCUACAAUGAUCAAAAUAGCAUGGCACAAAAACAGACAUGGAUCAAUGGAACAGAACAGAAAUCCCAGAAAUAAACCCACAUACUGAUGGUUGAUUAAUCUUACACAAAGGACGCAAGACUAUACAAUGGGGAAAAGUCUCUUCAGCAAGUGGUGUUGGGAAAGUUGGAUAGCUUCAUGUAAAUCAAUGAAGUUAGAACACAUUCUCACACCAUACACAAAAAUAAACUCAAAAUGGCUUAAAGUCUUAUUACAUAAGACAUAACACCACAAAACUCCUAGAGGAGAACACAGGCAAACAUUCUAACAAAAAUCAUACCAAGGUUUUUUUUAGGUCUAUCUCCCAAGGCAAUAGAAAUAAAAGCAAAAAUAAGCAAAUGGGACCUAAUCAAAAUUACUAGCUUUUGCACAGCAGAGGAAACCAUAAACAAAAUGAAGACAACCUAUGAAGUGGCAGAAAAUAUUUGCAAAUGAUGUGACCAACAAGGGCUUAAUUUCCAACAUAUACAAAUAGCUUAUACAACUCAACAACAAGAAAAAAUAGUCCAACAAAAAAACAGGCAGAACUAAACAGACAUUUCUUCAAAGAAGACAUACAGAUAGAUGGCCAACAGGCAUGUGAAAAGAUGAGCAACACUGGUAAUUAUUAGAGAAAUGCAAAUCAAAACUACAAUAAGGUAUCACCUCACACUGGUAAGAAUGACCAUCAUUAAAAAGUCCACAAAUAAAUACUGGAAAGGGUAUAGAGAAAGGGAACAUUUCUACACUGUUGGUAGGAAUAUAAGUUGGUGCAGCCAUUAUGAAAAAUAAUUUGGAGGUUUCUCCAAAAGCUAAAAAUAGAGCUGCCAUGUGACCCAGCAAUCCCACUCCUGGGCAUAUAUCUGGACAAAACUAUAAUUCAAAAACAUGCAUGCACCCCUAUGUUCACUGCAGCAACUAUUCACAAUAGCCAAGAUAUGGAAACAACCUAAAUGUCCAUCAACAGAUGAAGAUGUGGUACAACAGAAUACUACUCAACCAUAAAAAGAACAAAAUAAUACCAUUUGCAGAAACAGAGAUGGACCUCGAGAUUAUCAUACUAAGUCGGACAGAAAAAGACAAAUAUCAUAUAUUAUCACUUAUAUGUGGAAUCUAAAAUAUGACACAAAUGAACUUUUAUGAAACAGAAACAGACUCACAUACAAAGAAAACAGACCUGUGGUUGCCAAGGGGAUGGGAGGGGAUGGAGUGGAAGUUUGGGGUUAAUAUACACAAACCAUUUUCUAGAGAAAGGAAAAACAACAAGGUCCUACUGUACAGCACAGAGAACUUUAUUCGAUAUUCUGUGACAAACCAUAAUGGGAAAGAAUAUAAAAUAGAGAAAAAAAUGUAUAAAUGAAUCACUUUGCUGUACAGAAAUUAACACAACAUUGCAAAUCAACUGUAUUUCAAUAAAAAAGAAAAAAUAUACUUCAAUCAUAUAGCCACACUGACUCCCUAAAGAUUUAUCAUCAUCAAUCCUUCUCCCCUUCCACCAAAUUAAGAUACUUGGAGUUCUUCUACUUUCCCUUUUAUGCAAUCUCCCAUUCCUAAUCCCUAUAUUUUGUUAAUAAAAUUAGGAUUUGUAGUUAUGGGUUCUUUUUUAAACUUUUUGAAUAAACAACUUAACAAUUAGAAAAAUAAAGAAUAGUAUAAAGAACAUCCUUAAUGCUGUUUACUCAGAUUUACCUAUUACUACAUUUUACUCCAAUUCACUCUACCAUUUGCUUUCUCUCUGUGUACACACCACAGACACUCACAAUUAUUGUGAACCAUCUGAGGGUAAGUUACAAAUAUAACUUAUCUAUAGCUUUAUCUCUAAACACUUUAGCGUGCAGUUCCUAAAGAGAGUGCUGUUCUCUUACAUACCCAUAGUAAACAACUUCAUAAAUGAAAUGGGUAUAGCAUUUUAAUCUAAUGGAUUGUUAUGUUAAUGCUUAUGAUUUUUCAGUUGAUUUAAGCAUGUCUUCUAUAGGGUUCUGACCCCUCUUCAGGGCAGUCUGGGGUUAAGGGUUACAUUGAGUUGUAUCUAUUUAGCCUCCUUUAGUACAGAAUUCUCUAUAGCCAUUCUUGGUAUUUUACGACAUUACAAUUUGUAAAUAGUACAAUCCCCCUUGACAUUUAAAAAAUACCAGAUUGUUCAUUUUAUGCUUUUCUUUUUUUUUUUUUUGGCGGGGGGGGGGCCCCACAUGGACGUUCUCAGGCCAGGGGUCAAAUCAAAGCUGCAGCUGCCAGCCUACACCACAGCUCACAGCAAUGCCAGAUCCCCAAGCCACUGAGCGAGGAUUGAACC
rnacentral:lncRNA from 1 species